rnacentral:rRNA from 1 species
GAUGAACGCUGGCGGCGUGCCUAAUACAUGCAAGUCGAACGCAUAGCGAAAGGUGCUUGCACCUUUCAAGUGAGUGGCGAACGGGUGAGUAACACGUGGACAACCUGCCUCAAGGCUGGGGAUAACAUUUGGAAACAGAUGCUAAUACCGAAUAAAACUUAGUGUCGCAUGACACAAAGUUAAAAGGCGCUUCGGCGUCACCUAGAGAUGGAUCCGCGGUGCAUUAGUUAGUUGGUGGGGUAAAGGCCUACCAAGACAAUGAUGCAUAGCCGAGUUGAGAGACUGAUCGGCCACAUUGGGACUGAGACACGGCCCAAACUCCUACGGGAGGCUGCAGUAGGGAAUCUUCCACAAUGGGCGAAAGCCUGAUGGAGCAACGCCGCGUGUGUGAUGAAGGCGUUCGGGUCGGAAAGCACUGUUGUAUGGGAAGAACAGCUAGAAUAGGAAAUGAUUUUAGUUUGACGGUACCAGACCAGAAAGGGACGGCUAAAUACGUG